CACACUGUCUGCUAUUCAAUUGACGGUUUAGGAGUGUUUUGUGUAAGAUUGUUUUUACUGCUGCUGGCACUCUGUGAUACAUUGUAGCUCCAGGAUACAUUGUAUCUAUGAUUUUAAUUCUGUUAUAUGACCCUAUGGUGUAGCACAGUCCAGUAACACAGAGUAUAUACUGUACAUUGGAAAGUGUACAUUACAAUUGUUAAA